AUCGGGGCAGGGUGAGUCGACCCCUAAGGCGAGGCCGAAAGGCGUAGUCGAUGGGAAACAGGUUAAUAUUCCUGUACUUGGUGUUACUGCGAAGGGGGGACGGAGAAGGCUAUGUUAGCCGGGCGACGGUUGUCCCGGUUUAAGCAUGUAGGCUGGUUGUCCAGGCAAAUCCGGAUAAUCAAGGCUGAGGUGUGAUGACGAGGCACUACGGUGCUGAAGUAACAAAUGCCCUGCUUCCAGGAAAAGCCUCUAAGC
rnacentral:rRNA from 1 species